UAGGGAAUCUUCGGCAAUGGACGAAAGUCUGACCGAGCAACGCCGCGUGAGUGAAGAAGGUUUUCGGAUCGUAAAACUCUGUUGUUAGAGAAGAACAAGGACGUUAGUAACUGAACGUCCCCUGACGGUAUCUAACCAGAAAGCCACGGCUAACUACGUGCCAGCAGCCGCGGUAAUACGUAGGUGGCAAGCGUUGUCCGGAUUUAUUGGGCGUAAAGCGAGCGCAGGCGGUUUCUUAAGUCUGAUGUGAAAGCCCCCGGCUCAACCGGGGAGGGUCAUUGGAAGCUGGGAGACUUGAGUGCAGAAGAGGAGAGUGGAAUUCAAUGUGUAGCGGUGAAAUGCGUAGAUAUAUGGAGGAACACCAGUGGCGAAGGCGGCUCUCUGGUCUGUAACUGACGCUGAGGCUCGAAAGCGUGGGGAGCAAACAGG
rnacentral:rRNA from 1 species